ACAUUUUCCUGCCUUUCCUCUUUUUCCUUUUAUUCAUGUGUUUGUAAUUAUCCUCUCGUCCUUUUCCCGUUAAUUAAUUGUCAUGUGUAAUUAUAACAUUCACGCGUCACAUGUCUUCAUCACGUAUCGCUCCUGAGAACGCAUAAAUAGUCUUGUUUACAGCCACAUUUUCCUGCCUUUCCUCUUUUUCCUUUUAUUCAUGUGUUUGUAAUUAUCCUCUCGUCCUUUUCCCGUUAAUCAAUUCAGUCACGUAUCGCUCCUGAGAACGCAUAGAUAGUCUUGUUCACAGCCUCAUUUUCCUGCCUUUCCUCUUUUUCCUUUUAUUCAUGUGUUUAUUAGUGUUACGCCUCCGUGGUGCAGUGGUUAGCGUGCCUGCCUGCGAAUCUACGGGGCUGAGUUCAAGUCCCGCCCUGGAUAGUCGGUGUACGUGAGCCCACCCAGCUUUUGUAUUCUUUUCCUUCCUCUCGUCCUAAAUUUCCCCUUAGUUCAGUCAUGUGUAAUUAUAACCUUCACGCGUCACAUGUCUUCAUCGUGUAUCGCUCCUGAGAACGCAGAGGUAGUCUUGUUCACAGCCUCAUUUUCCUGCCUUUCCUCUUUUUCCUUUUAUUCAUGUGUUUAUUAGUGUUACGCCUCCGCGGUGCAGUGGUUAACAUGCCUGCCUGCAAAUCUACGGGCCUGAGUUCAAAUCCCGCCCUGGGUAGUCGGUGUAGAGCCUACCCAGCUUUACCUUACCUUACCUUACCUCACGUUCCUCUGCCGGCUCCAACACUAUUAAUAUGCCAGACCUUAUUUACUAAUAUUACAAGCUUUACCUUAUAUACCUUACCUUUCCUUACCUCACCUUACCUUACGUUCCUCGGCCAUUCCCCUCAGAUCGGCUCCUACACUAUCAGUAUGCCGGACCUUGUUUACCAAGACUUUCUAUCGGCCGUAUGACAAGCUCUCCCUUCCCAGGCCUCCGCGGUGCAGUGGUAGCGCGCCCUGCCCUGGGAGGCGUUAUAGCUAAAGGAAGGGAAAAAGAUUAGCAAGGGAGCUUUCUCGGGACUAAAGAAAUGACUGUAAGCAAGAAAAGCUGUUCAUUGCGUUCUGUUCUUCCUUCGCUGACCUCCACAACGAACAUUUUCUGCCCUGGGAGGCGUUAUAGCUUAAGGAAGGGAAAAAGAUUAGCAAGGGAGCUUUCUCGGGACUAAAGAAAUGACUGUAAGCAAGAAAAGCUGUUCAUUGCGUUCUGUUCUUCCUUCGCUGACCUCCACAACGAACAUUUUCUGCCCUGGGAGGCGUUAUAGCUAAAGGAAGGGAAAAGAUUAGCAAGGGAGUUUUCUCGGGACUAAGGAAGCGGCGGUGAGCUUGCAGGGUAGUUCAUCGCGUUGUGUUCUUCCUUCGCUGACCCUGCGGCGAGCAUUUCCUGCCCUGGGAGGCGGUACAGCGAAGGGAGGUGAGUCAGGUUCACACGAGGUUGAAAAUAAGAAACAAAGAAUACCACGGGCGCUUUUUAAAGGGACAGAGCAAGCGGAGGCAAGAUGGGCGAUGAGUCAGAUGUAAGGAGUCAGGUGUAAGGUGUAAGGAGAUGAGUAAGGUGUCAGCUGUAAGGAGUAACGAGGAUGAGGUGAGCUGUUAUGAGUCACGUGUAAUGAGUAAGUAGAUGAGUCAGUUGUAAGAAGUAUAAGAGAUAAGAUAUUAGGAGUAAGGAAUCAAGAGUCAGAUAUAAGGGGUCAGGUAUAAGAAGUCAGGUAUUAGAAGAUGAGUCAUAUAAGGUGAUGAGUAACGCGUAUUAGUCAGGUAUAAGGCGGUGAGUCAAGUAUAAGGUGAUGAGUAAAGCGUCAAAAAUCAGAUAUAAGAACAUGAGUAAAGCGUCAGAAGUCAGGUAUGAGAAGAUGAGUCAGGUAUAAGGUGAUGAGUAACGCGUCAGAAGUCAGGUAUGAGAAGAUGAGUCAGGUAUAAGAUGAUGAGUAACGCGUCAAAAGUCAGAUAUAAGAACAUGAGUAAGGCGUCAGAAGUCUGGUAUGAGAAGAUGAGUCAGGUAUAAGGUGAUGAGUAACGCGUCAGAAGUCAGGUAUGAGAAGAUGAGUCAGGUAUAAGAUGAUGAGUAACGCGUCAAAAGUCAGAUAUAAGAACAUGAGUAAAGCGUCAGAAGUCAGGUAUGAGAAGAUGAGUCAGGUAUAAGGUGAUGAGUAAAGCGUAUUAGUCAGGUAUAAGGCGGUGAGUCAGGUAUAAAGAGAUGAGUAAAGCGUAUAAGAAGAUGAGUAACGCGUCACAAGUCAGGUAUAAGGUGAUGAGUAAAGCGUAUUAGUCUGGUGUAAGAAGAUGAAUCAGGUAUAAGAUGAUGAGUAAAGCGUAUUAAUCUGGUAUAAGGAUAUGAGUCAGGUAUAAGGAGAUGAGUCAGGUAUAAGGAGGUGAGUAAAGCGUAUUAGUCUGGUAUAAGGAGAUGAGUCAGGUAUAAGGAGAUGAGUCAGGUAUAAGGAGGUGAGUAAAGCGUAUUAGUCUGGUAUAAGGAGAUGAGUUAGGUAUAAGGAGAUGAGUCAGGUAUAAGGAGGUGAGUAAAGCGUAUUAGUCAGGUAUAAGGCGGUGAGUCAGGUAUAAGGUGAUGAGUAAAGCGUAAUCGUCAUGUAUAAGGCGGCGGUGAGUCAGGUGAGUGUUGAGGUCGAUGCGGGAUGCUGCUGGGAACGGAAGUGACGUCAUCAACAUUACUUACAAUAGGCGGAUGCUGAGGCGUCCAGACCACUUACUUAGAAGAGAAGAAAGUUAUGGUCCCCCCCCCCCCUCUCUCUCUCUCUCUCUCUCUCUCUGGUUGACUGUCUUUCUUUUUCUUUUCUUUCUUUAUUUCGUUUUCGCUAUCUCCUUUCUCUCUCUCU